rnacentral:rRNA from 1 species
AUGGCGAGAUGCGUUUGGGAACUAGCAGAUGAAGAUCUUACGGAAACCAUUGUCUCCAACCGGGCGGACGACGCAAAGUUAUGGAUGUUGUGGCUUGUUAAUACUCUUCCUUCGGCGAAGCUUGCGCGCGUCCUUGUGACGAUGUGGGCUAUUUGGUGGGCACAACGUCGAGCUAUCCACGAUGAUCAGUACCAAAGUCCACUAAGUACGCACAUGUUCAUUGAGAAAUUUUUGUCAGAGCUGGAGGCGAUCCCUGGCGAGAAGGAACGACCCAGGGAUCGAAAUGAAAAAUCCAAGGACCUGCAUGCUACGGCCAGGGACUUGCAUGUAAUGGCCAGGGACCUGCAUGUAACGGCUAGGGGAGAAUCAGUGCAGUGCGUCCGGUCAGCUCGGACGACCUGGCUCCCUCCGGCGAAGCAUGAAGUGAAGAUUAAUGUUGAUGGCGGGUUUUCCAAGGUUGGGGACCAAGGAGCUUCGGCGGUGAUCUGUAGGGACAAGCACGGUAAGUUUCUGGGUGCUUCCGCGGUUAUUUCUGAAGGUUUGCUGGACCCAACUAUACUCGAAGCCCAGGCGUGCAACGAGGCCAUUGCUCUUGCUGAGGACAUCCAUGUUCACUUCGUGUGUGUUGCAUCGGACUGCCUUGAGGUGAUCACCAAUAUCCAUACUGGAGCCCCUUGUCGAUAUGUUGCCAUCUUGGAGGAGAUCAAGCACAGGAGGCGUUCGAUCCAAGAUACUCAGUUUGUGCAUGAAAAUAGGAAACACAAUGAGGAAGCACAUGCCUUAGCUAAGGCGGCUGCUUCUCUCCCUCCCGGGCGCCAUGUGUGGCUUGCUACUCUGCCCGAUAUUAUCUGUAUCCCUAUGUUUUUGAACUUUCAAUAA